AGCGAACGCUGGCGGCAGGCUUAACACAUGCAAGUCGAGCGGGCAUAGCAAUAUGUCAGCGGCAGACGGGUGAGUAACGCGUGGGAACGUACCUUUUGGUUCGGAACAACACAGGGAAACUUGUGCUAAUACCGGAUAAGCCCUUACGGGGAAAGAUUUAUCGCCGAAAGAUCGGCCCGCGUCUGAUUAGCUAGUUGGUGAGGUAAUGGCUCACCAAGGCGACGAUCAGAAGCUGGUAUGAGAGGAUGAUCAGCCACAUUGGGACUGAGACAGGGCCCAAACUCCUACGGGAGGCAGCAGUGGGGAAUAUUGGACAAUGGGCGCAAGCCUGAUCCAGCCAUGCCGCGUGAGUGAUGAAGGCCCUAGGGUUGUAAAGCUCUUUUGUGCGGGAAGAUAAUGACGGUACCGCAAGAAUAAGCCCCGGCUAACUUCGUGCCAGCCGCCGCCGUAA
rnacentral:rRNA from 1 species